rnacentral:lncRNA from 1 species
CACCAGCGCCUGCUGUCCUGGCCUUGAUUUGCAGCUUCCUGCCACCCAUGGUGCGGAGGAGAGAGGCCGAGCAUGUGGCCUGUGGGAGAUGGUGGGAUAAAGCCGCAGGAGGAGGGGAGAAGCAGGAGCCAGCAGGCUUCCACGAGAUCUCUUCGUGUUUAUCAGUCCUUCAGCCCAAUUCUCCUCUCAGGAUCAUCCUUUGCAUUAAAUAGGAGAGCUCUUAACCUACUAGAAAAAAUAUCUCCACUGGCGGUGUGACAUGCUCUGAUCUGAAGGGACUGUCCUUACCUGACACAUAAGUCCCAUCCUGACAGCCCAUCUCCUCCCACUCUUGGGAUUGUGCCACCUGUCCCCGACUUUGCUGUCUUCUUUGAAAUGCUUCAUCACUAGAAUGAAGGACAUCAUACAGUAGAUUUAUGAAAAGGUGAGAUUAUGAGGUAAGUAUUUUCAAUUUUUGGAGGUCUGGACAUAUCUUUAUUCUGCCAACAUACUUGACUGAUUGCUCGGCUGGAUAUAUAAUUUGGGGGCUGGAAAUUCUUUUCCUUCAGGACGUUUAUACAUGGCUUCCUUAUCUUCUAGCUUUCAGAGGUGCUGUUGAAAAUCCAAACGCAUCUUGAUUCCUGAGACUUUUAUGUAAAUUGUCUUUUUUUUUUCCUGUGGAAAUACUCUCUGUGGACAUGCCAUUUGAGCAACAGCCUGGAUAAUAAGAAGGGAUGAGCUAGUUCUCAAGAGGAUGUGAGAGGUGGCUGCAUUGGUUUCCUAGGGCCACCGUAACUCAUCAACUCAAACUUCGUAACCCAAAACAACCAACUUUAUUGUCUUACAUAUCAGGAAAAGACAAGUCUGAAAUGAAUCUUACAGGGGUGAAAUCAAGGCGUUAACAGGGCUGGUGCCACCUGGAGGCUCCAGGUGAGAAUCCAUUCCUGGUCUCUUGAAGUUUCUGGUGGUUUCCAGCAUCCCCUAAUUUGUAGCCAUGUCGUUCUAAUGCUGCUUUCAUUGGCCCAUGGCCGUUUCCUCUUCUAUGUCAGUCUUUCUCAACCACUUGCUGAAAGGGACCUUGUGAUUGCCUUCGAUUACACUGGAACCACAUGAUUGAGCCA